rnacentral:lncRNA from 1 species
CAAAACGAAACCUUCUCUUUAAAAAGGAAAGAAAGUACUAUCGAUACAGAAAGCAAAAGUAUUUCCAGUCUCCUACUGAACUGUCACGGCAGACCUCUCUGUAUCUAUAUUUAGAGCUGUAUGUCCAUAUAUUUGCCUGAAUGUGUGAGUUCUUGGAAGUAUGGAUUCAUUGCCAGGAGCUGGUGAUUUCCUAAGCAGAGGUCGCUAACUACAAGAAAUGUUACACUCGGACAAGUCCUGCGCUUGGGGAUCCUCUGUACGCCCGUUCACUGGUGCAGGUCUUCUGAACAAAUGCCUCCUGAGGAUUUCUGUGCCUGGAAAAUAUCUGUUAACAGACUGCUUUUACACCUACGCUUGCACCCUCACGACAUGCUCUCUCUCUCUCCCUCUCCUCUUUUCUCUCUUCUCUCCCUUCUCUCCUCUCUCUUAUCUCUCUCUUCUCUCUCUCGUACACAUACUCUGGAAAGCCAGCUACCAUACUGGGAACUGCCCAAUGGAGAGGCCCACAUUCCACAAGGAACUGAUGUCUUCAGCCAAUACCUCGCCAGGACCUGAGGCCUGCUGAGAGUCACGAGUGGCCUUCGUGGGUCCUCUCUCAACGAGCUUGCAGGUGACCACUGCGCCAGCCAAAACCUUGAUGGCAGCCUAUGACUACCUGUAAGAAGAAUCAAGAUAAAGAAUUCAUGAAUGAUAAAAACACUUUGAAAAGACUGGUGGUUCCAUAAAAGCUGACUUUGUGCCUGGAACAUUGGAAGUGACCCGUCAGUGCUUACUGAAUGAAUAGGCAAAUGAACAAAACCUCCUGCAAUACAGCUUUCUUACCAUGCCUCAAGAGACUCUUCAGUCCAUCCUACUGUAGUUGCUUUUGAUUGGGUUCUCCCUGAGUACUGACCCUAGGCCCAGAUUCAGAGAUUUCUCCAAAAAAAGAGCUUCUUUCAAAGACAUCAUUCCUAUUGUCAACCCUGUUGGCAUAGACACAAAAUGUAAACGUUGGACAAAGGCAAUACUUGCUGUGACAAAGGCGAUAUUUGUUGUAACAAAACACAAAUGUCUGUCCAUCAGUGGGGAACGAGAAUGCUGGGAUUUGAAGAGGCCAAAAAAAUAAUACUGCUCUCUCUUUUGAGAAAGAGAGGGGAUUUUUUUUUUUUUUUUGAAAAGCCAUAAGCUUAGGACAGAUGAAAUUCAAAAUCCACACUAAACUUCACUGGAGAAUGUAAGCAAAAUAUGAGGCCACAGGUGAGCUUUCUAUUUCCUUCCUCCACUCUCCAAGAUGGCCCAUUGAUAUUUGGCUGUGUCCCCAAAUCUCAUCUUGAAUUGUAGUUCCUGUAAUCCCCAUGUGUCAUGGGAGGGAUCCAGUGGGAGGUAAUUGAAUCAUGGGAGCAGUUACUCCCUUGCUGUUCUGUGAUAGUGAAUGAGAUCUCAUGAGAUCUGAUGGUUUUAUAAGGGCCUUUUUCCCCUUUGCUUGGCACUUCUCCGUCCUGCCAUCAUGUGAAGAGGGAUGUGUUUGCUUCCCCUUCUGCCAUGAUUGUAAGUUUCCUGAGGCCUCCCCAACCAUGUGGAACUGUGAGUCAAUUAAACCUCUUUCUUUCAUAAGUUACCCAGUCUCAGGCAGUUCUUUAUAGCAGCGUGAGAACAGACUAAUACGCCCACCCAGGAUUCAGUCUCCCACCUGCAGAAGCAGAGGUCCCCCAGUCACUGUACUCCUGGCAUCUUUGACGGCCAGCCACUGGGACUAAAAGCUCAAAGAGGGCAGGGCCGCUUAUGCCUAGUUUCUUCUCCUAGUUUCAACAGUAAGAUAAAUCAUUCCCACCUAGGGGAGAGAAUGAAGUCUGGAAUCACUAAUAGUGUUAUACCCUGGGAAUGUAAGUUCCCUCAUGCAACAUGAGGGGGAGGAAUAAGAUUUCCACCAGAUAAAUAAAUAAAUAGUCUGUGGUGCACCCAAUGUUAUGUUAUAUAUCUAUUUACAAGAAUACAGUCAG